rnacentral:lncRNA from 1 species
AAUCGGAAUCCUUCGAAAUUGGGAGCUGUAGGGUAGAAUGAGUACGUCGCCAUCCACGACGUUGUUGGAGUUGACACUUCUAAUCUCUUCUCUAGAUGGCCAAAGAACGUAAUCGGAGGAGGUGACGAGGCGAAUGCGUUCUUCAUGGUUAGAAAGAUAAUUUCCAGCGGC